UGCCAGCAGCCGCGGUAAUAUGGAGGGGGUUAGCGUUGUUCGGAAUUACUGGGCGUAAAGCGCACGUAGGCGGAUUGGAAAGUUGGGGGUGAAAUCCCGGAGCUUAACUCCGGAACUGCAUUUGAAACUACUUUUCUUGAGGAUAGACGGAGAAAACGGAAUUCCAUAUGUAGCGGUGAAAUGCGUAGAUAUGUGGAAGAACACCCGUGGCGAAAGCGGUUUUCUAGUUUAUACCUGACGCUAAGGCCCGAAAGCUAGGGGAGCAAACAGGAUUAGAUA
rnacentral:rRNA from 1 species